CUUUCUUGAAGCAGACUGACUUCAGAUGAAAUGUCGUCAACUUGUCCUCCAGGUCAACAUGUGUUUUAUCUUUCUAUGCAGCCAUUAAACAGCCACUUUAUGACGACUUCUUUCAGAUAACAGAUCUGAUUAAUGAUUCACACUCAUGAGUCUCUCUGGGUGUUUCCUGUUCAAAGGUUCAUUCACUCUGAACGUCGUGUCGCAGUUGGUUUUCUCCGUGUGAACCUCCAGCUGAAGAUCAAAGUGUGUGUGAGCUGAUGUGGAUGUGAGUUGAGCAGCAUGAAUCAGAGUGAGGACAGAGAGGAGGGAGUCCCUCCCUCUAAAAGCACUCUGUGUGGGGAACAUGACAGCCAGACCAAAGCUCAGAGCCCACAACAGACUCUGAGACCAGACUCUGCUGGACCUGGACCAGGACCUGGACCUGCACCUGAACCUGGACUUGAACCUGGA